rnacentral:rRNA from 1 species
AUUGAACGCUGGCGGCAGGCCUACCACAUGCAAGUCGAACGAGUGGCGGAAGGGUGAGUAAUGUCUCGGAAACUGCCUGAUGGAGGGGGAUAACAACUGGAAACGGUUGCUAAUACCGCAUACCAUCAGAUGUGCCGAGAUGGGAUUAGCUAGUUGGUGGGGGAACGGCUCACCAAGGCGACGAUCCCUAGCUGGUCUGAGAGGAUGACCAGCCACACUGGAACUGAGACACGGUCCAGACUCCUACGGGAGGCAGCAGUGGGGAAUAUUGCACAAGGGGCGAAAGCCUGAUUCAGCCAUGCCGCGUGUAUGAAGAAGGCCUUCGGUUUGUAAAGUACUUUCAGCUGGGAGGCGUUACCCGCAGAAGAAGCACCGGCUAACUCCGUGCCAGCAGCCGCGGUAAUUC